rnacentral:rRNA from 1 species
AACGAACGCUUGCGGCAUGCCUAAUACAUGCAAGUCGAACGAGAAAGUACCUUCGGGUGCGAGUAAAGUGGCGCACGGGUGAGUAACGCGUGGAUAAUCUGCCUCUAGGUGGGGAACAACCAUUCGAAAGGAUGGCUAAUACCGCAUAAGACCACGAUUUCUUAGGAUUUUGGGGUUAAAGAUUUAUUGCCUAGAGAUGAGUCCGCGUCCGAUUAGCUUGUUGGUGGGGUAAAGGCCUACCAAGGCUUCGAUCGGUAGCUGGUCUGAGAGGAUGAUCAGCCACACUGGAACUGAGACACGGUCCAGACUCCUACGGGAGGCAGCAGUAGGGAAUAUUGCGCAAUGGGGGAAACCCUGACGCAGCAAUGCCGCGUGAGUGAUGAAGGCUUUCGGGUCGUAAAGCUCUGUCGUAGAGGAAGAUAAUGACGGUACUCUACAAGAAAGGACCGGCUAACUUCG